rnacentral:rRNA from 1 species
AGAGUUUGAUCAUGGCUCAGGAUGAAUGCUGGCGGGGUGCCUAAUACAUGCAAGUCGAGCGGCAGCGCGUCUAGUUUACUAGAUGGCGGCGAGCGGCGGACGGCUGAGUAACGCGUGGGAACAUGCCCCAAAGUGAGGGAUAACGCACCGAAAGGUGUGCUAAUACCGCAUAUGGUCUUCGGAUUAAAGGAUUUAUCCGCUUUGGGAGUGGCCCGCGUACGAUUAGAUUGUUGGUGAGGUAACGGCUCACCAAGUCGACGAUCGUUAACUGGUCUGAGAGGAUGAUCAGUCAGACUGGAACUGAGACACGGUCCAGACUCCUACGGGAGGCAGCAGUAAGGAAUCUUCCACAAUGGGCGAAAGCCUGAUGGAGCAACGCCGCGUGCAGGAUGAAGGCCCUCGGGUCGUAAACUGCUUUUAUGAGUGAAGAAUAUGACGGUAACUCAUGAAUAAGCACCGGCUAACUACGUGCCAGCAGCCGCGGUCAUACGUAGGGUGCAAGCAUUAUCCGGAGUGACUGGGCGUAAAGAGUUGCGUAGGUGGUUAGUAAAGUGAAUAGUGAAACCUGGUGGCUCAACCAUACAGACUAUUAUUCAAACUCACUAACUCGAGAGUGGUAGAGGUAACUGGAAUUUCUUGUGUAGGAGUGAAAUCCGUAGAUAUAAGAAGGAACACCAAUGGCGUAGGCAGGUUACUGGACCAUUUCUGACACUAAGGCACGAAAGCGUGGGGAGCGAACCGGAUUAGAUACCCUGGUAGUCC